rnacentral:rRNA from 1 species
UAACCUGCCUCUUAGCGGGGGAUAACUAUUGGAAACGAUAGCUAAUACCGCAUAAAAGUCGAUAUCGCAUGAUAUUGAUUUGAAAGGUGCAAUUGCAUCACUAAGAGAUGGACCUGCGUUGUAUUAGCUAGUUGGUGAGGUAACGGCUCACCAAGGCGACGAUACAUAGCCGACCUGAGAGGGUGAUCGGCCACACUGGGACUGAGACACGGCCCAG